UAAUACCCCAUAAGAUCUUUGAUUGGCAUCGAUCAAAGAAGAAAACUCCGGUGGUAAAAGAUGGGCAUGCGUCCUAUUAGUUAGUUGGUAAGGUAACGGCUUACCAAGACUUCGAUAGGUAGGGGUCCUGAGAGGGAGAUCCCCCACACUGGUACUGAGACAGGACCAGACUCAUACGGGAGGCAGCAGUGAGGAAUAUUGGACAAUGGAGGCAACUCUGAUCCAGCCAUGCCGCGUGCAGGAAGACUGCCCUAUGGGUUGUAAACUGCUUUUAUACAGGAAGAAUUGCAUCUACGUGUAGUUGCUUGACGGUACUGUAC
rnacentral:rRNA from 1 species